rnacentral:rRNA from 1 species
GCAUAUCAAUAAGCGGAGGAAAAGAAACCAACAGGGAUUGCCUCAGUAACGGCGAGUGAAGCGGCAACAGCUCAAAUUUGAAAUCUGGAGCUUUCAGCUUCCGAGUUGUAAUUUGAAGAGGAUGUUUCGGUUGCGGCUAUGGCCCAAGUUCCUUGGAACAGGACGUCAUGGAGGGUGAGAAUCCCGUAAAUGGCUGCUGGCUUGCUUCUAUGUGAAACUCCUUCGAAGAGUCGAGUUGUUUGGGAAUGCAGCUCAAAAUGGGUGGUAAAUUUCAUCUAAAGCUAAAUAUUGGCGGGAAACCGAUAGCGCACAAGUAGAGUGAUCGAAAGAUGAAAAGCACUUUGAAAAGAGAGUUAAACAGUACGUGAAAUUGUUGAAAGGGAAGCGCUUGCAAUCAGACUCGCUUUCGGUUGAUCAACGUUCCUUUUGGUUCGUGCACUCUGCCGUUGGCGGGCCAGCAUCAGCUGGAGCGGUGGGACAAAGACAGCGGGAAUGUGGCUCUCUUCGGGGAGUGUUAUAGCCUGUUGUGCAAUGCCACCAGCUCCGGCUGAGGUCCGCGGUUCGCCUAGGAUGCUGGCUUAAUGGUUGUAAGCGACCCGUCUUGAAACACGGACCAAGGAGUCUAACAUCUAUGCGAGUCUUUGGGUGUCAAACCCAUGGGCGUAAUGAAAGUGAACGGAGGUGGGAGUCUUCGGAUGCACCAUCGACCGAUCCUGAUGUUCUCGGAUGGAUUUGAGUAGGAGCAUAGCUGUUGGGACCCGAAAGAUGGUGAACUAUGCCUGAAUAGGGUGAAGCCAGAGGAAACUCUGGUGGAGGCUCGCAGCGGUUCUGACGUGCAAAUCGAUCGUCAAAUUUGGGUAUAGGGGCGAAAGACUAAUCGAACCAUCUAGUAGCUGGUUCCUGCCG